GGGCAGCGAUCGCCGAAUCCCCGUCAGGCGUGAGCCUGGGGAGCCGGGGACCCAUGUCCCCCUGGGGUGAAUCGGGCGCCUUCGCACCACGCGGAGGGGUCCGUAGGAGACCUUCCUGCUCCGAACCCGUCAGCUAACCCGGUAGGCGAGAGGGAAGGAAAGG
rnacentral:sRNA from 2 species